rnacentral:rRNA from 1 species
GGAGGUUACUGCUAUCGGUGUUCGCCUAACCCAUGCGAGUCAUAUGUUCUUCGUGAACAUGGCGUACUGCUCAGUAACACGUGAAUAACCUGCCCUUGGGACCGGCAUAACCCCGGGAAACUGGGGAUAAUUCCGGAUACCGCAUAUAUGCUGGAAUGCUUUAUGCGUGAAAUGGAUUCGUCUGCCCAAGGAUGGGUCUGCGGCCUAUCAGGUAGUGGUGGGUGUAAUGUACCUACUACCCUACAACGGGUACGGGUUGUGAGAGCAAGAGCCCGGAAAUGGAUUCUGAAACAUGAAUCCAGGCCCUACGGGGCGCACCAGGCGCGAAAACUUUACAAUGCGGGAAACCGUGAUAAGGGGACACCGAGUGCCAGCAACAUUUGUUGGCUGUCCAGGUGUGUAAACUACACCUGUUAGCAAGGGCCGGGCAGGACCGGUGC